rnacentral:rRNA from 1 species
AUGAACGCUAGCUACAGGCUUAACACAUGCAAGUCGAGGGGCAGCAUGGUCUUAGCUUGCUAAGGCCGAUGGCGACCGGCGCACGGGUGAGUAACACGUAUCCAACCUGCCGUCUACUCUUGGACAGCCUUCUGAAAGGAAGAUUAAUACAAGAUGGCAUCAUGAGUCCACAUGUUCACAUGAUUAAAGGUAUUCCGGUAGACGAUGGGGAUGCGUUCCAUUAGAUAGUAGGCGGGGUAACGGCCCACCUAGUCUUCGAUGGAUAGGGGUUCUGAGAGGAAGGUCCCCCACAUUGGAACUGAGACACGGUCCAAACUCCUACGGGAGGCAGCAGGGAGGAAUAUUGGUCAAUGGGCGAGAGCCUGAACCAGCCAAGUAGCGUGAAGGAUGACUGCCCUAUGGGUUGUAAACUUCUUUUAUAAAGGAAUAAAGUCGGGUAUGGAUACCCGUUUGCAUGUACUUUAUGAAUAAGGAUCGGCUAACUCCGUGCCAGCAGCCGCGGUAAUACGGAGGAUCCGAGCGUUAUCCGGAUUUAUUGGGUUUAAAGGGAGCGUAGAUGGAUGUUUAAGUCAGUUGUGAAAGUUUGCGGCUCAACCGUAAAAUUGCAGUUGAUACUGGAUAUCUUGAGUGCAGUUGAGGCAGGCGGAAUUCGUGGUGUAGCGGUGAAAUGCUUAGAUAUCACGAAGAACUCCGAUUGCGAAGGCAGCCUGCUAAGCUGCAACUGACAUUGAGGCUCGAAAGUGUGGGUAUCAAACAGGAUUAGAUACCCUGGUAGUCCACACGGUAAACGAUGAAUACUCGCUGUUUGCGAUAUACAGCAAGCGGCCAAGCGAAAGCGUUAAGUAUUCCACCUGGGGAGUACGCCGGCAACGGUGAAACUCAAAGGAAUUGACGGGGGCCCGCACAAGCGGAGGAACAUGUGGUUUAAUUCGAUGAUACGCGAGGAACCUUACCCGGGCUUAAAUUGCAGAUGAAUUACGGUGAAAGCCGUAAGCCGCAAGGCAUCUGUGAAGGUGCUGCAUGGUUGUCGUCAGCUCGUGCCGUGAGGUGUCGGCUUAAGUGCCAUAACGAGCGCAACCCUUGUUGUCAGUUACUAACAGGUUCCGCUGAGGACUCUGACAAGACUGCCAUCGUAAGAUGUGAGGAAGGUGGGGAUGACGUCAAAUCAGCACGGCCCUUACGUCCGGGGCUACACACGUGUUACAAUGGGGGGUACAGAGGGCCGCUACCACGCGAGUGGAUGCCAAUCCCCAAAACCUCUCUCAGUUCGGACUGGAGUCUGCAACCCGACUCCACGAAGCUGGAUUCGCUAGUAAUCGCGCAUCAGCCACGGCGCGGUGAAUACGUUCCCGGGCCUUGUACACACCGCCCGUCAAGCCAUGGGAGCCGGGGGUACCUGAAGUGCGUAACCGCGAGGAGCGCCCUAGGGUAAAACUGGUGACUGGGGCU